rnacentral:lncRNA from 1 species
CUUACCUGGAAGCUGUAUCUCAUUUCACAAGUUUGUUUUUUUUUUUGUGUAGAUGGUGCAGACCUGUAAACUUUGUUUCAGAGAUAGCAAAAUUAAGUAUAAUACAUAUGCCUUGUAUUUCCACAGGGCCUUGGUCUUUAUCAACUGAGGUAAUGUGCCUGUCAUGCUCCUGAAGUAAUAUUAAGUGGAAAUAACAUCUUACAUCCAAUUUCAAAGAUGCUGUGGUCUUGCUGAGCCCUUGCCGACCCUUGGCAGCGAGGCUGUGCCGAGCAGGAGGAUUGCAGUGAACCUCUUCCCAUGCCCCAAAUGCUGAGUGUGGCAAAACCCUCUGGGAGGGUAACACAGUGGGUGAUUGAUUGUACCCGCCAGCUGGCUAAUAUCAUAAUUAACAAAGUUGCUACCAUGUCUGAGAAGUUUAAUCGAAAAAAUUGCCGGCAGUAUGAUGCCAUUGUCACAGAGAUCACAAGCGCAGCAGUGUUGACUUUUGUACUGGUGGAGCCGCAGGACUAUGUAGAUGUGCUGAAAAGUCGUUCGCUGGGAUAACUGAAGUGAGAUGUGAUUGCAGACAGCGCGCGGCUGGGCUGUGGUGGAACCGGCCAGUGGCGACCUGCCCUUGCUCUGCUGGCUCCCAGCGGAGCAGCCGUGCCACGGGAUGCAGAAGUUGGGAGCAGCUGCCUGCCAUGAACCUCCACGUGCAGGAAUGCCGGCAGGAGAGCGUGGAAGCGUCAGCGAGGUAAGCACUGCAAAUCACUGCGGUUAUGCUUUAUCUGCU